rnacentral:piRNA from 1 species
AUGCCUCUCAUGCUCAUCAAUCAUAGUGCAAG